GCCUGAGCGAGGGCAGCCGGCUGUGGAAGGCUCCAGCUUGGGGCUGCUGGACCACUGUGGCCAGAGCAUCCCCAGCCCCGGACAGGGCCUGGCCCCGAGGGUGCUGGAUAAAACACGGCAUGUCUAGAAGGACGAGUGCAGCUGGAAACAGGAAACCCUGAUGGAGCCAGGCUGCUGGGAUUUACAUCUGAGAACCCAGAGCUGACACACAGAUGUCCCUGUGUAACUCCAGGACCGUGUGCGGAGAGCAGCCCAGGCUAGAGGAGCUGAGCCCAGCUUGCACGCGGUACUUGUCCCUGAGGUCAGGCUGGGGUGGUCGCCGCCUCCGUGGUUGGGCCACACCUGCCAGGAUGCAAAUAAAGACCAAGGAGGUUUAUUUUCCUCCUGACUGGGGCUGGGGCUCCAGCGGUUUACCUUGCCCUAACUCAGCUGCUGCGCACCUUGGUGCAGAUGAAAGAGGACAAUGCAUCAGGCCUUAACGAGCUGCAGGGGCUGCAGGCGCCUGGUCCGGUCUGGCCUCCUGUCCCCGUCCGGCCCAGCCCCGCAGCCUCGCUGGCUGGGGAUCAAACGCACCCAGACACGCAGGGAGCAGAGCUGCGGCCGGGGCUCCUCCGUGCACACCCCGAGCGCGACGGCGAGCUGGGCUGGGCCAGACGCAGGCCGCAAAUCAACGCAUCAACGCGACAGCUAGAGGCAUCGUGGACUGGCCAGACGCGGUUUGACCCCAGCCCUGCCCUGCCCUGCUCUUCUUGGCCGUGUGGUCUCAGGCAAAGCCAAAGGGUGAAGCAUGGGGAAGACAUUAGCGAACAGUUUUAUUCCUGUAAACUGUCGUGCAUUUGGCGCCGUGAAGAGCUGUCAACAGGGAUGCAAGCUCAUUCUGAGGCCAAGAGACAACGCAGAGUAUUCUAAGUAUCUUCCUCUAUUAUGAAGCAAUAGAUAACUUAUUUCAAUCCAAAAUUCUGGGUCUCCAGGUCCCAGCAGCCAAGAAUGUGAGAGCAGCCCCUGACGCUGGCGGGAAAACCACAGGCUUUCUCCCCUGGACCAGAGGAUUAAAGAGAACAAGAGCUUGCUAUGAGCUUUGCAGCACCGAGCUUUUCAAAGCAAAGAGCCCUGACUGCCCUGAACCUCUUUCUGUCUUUGUGAGCUGGAUCUGUCGUGGCUCGAGGGCUGGCUGCCACCGUCGCCCCCCACGUGGACCCUCAACCUGCAGGACUGGAGCGAGAUGGGGGUUGUGAGUGGGGGUGAGAGUCUGUGAAAGGAGCUCUGGGAAAAGCAAAUGCGUGGGGAGGGGGGCUUCCUCUUCCGGACGAGCUGGAGUAACCCAGACCAAUAAUCACAGCACGUGAAUCCUGCCAGAUGUUCAAGGACAACGUCACAGCAAUUCUGCACAGACUCUUCCAGAAAACUGAAGAGGAGAGCACACUUCCCAGCUCAUUCUAUGAGGCCAGUGUUACCCUCAUAUCAAGCCAAACAAAGAUACUGUGAGAAAAGAAAACUAACGUCUGGGGGCGGCAGCUCACACCUGUAAUCCUAGCACUUUGGGAGGCUGAGGCAUGAGGACUGCUGGAGGCCAGGAGUUCAAGACCAGCCUGAGCAACAUAGCGAGACCCCAUCUCUAUAAUGCAUGAAUAAAUGAAUGAAAACUAAGGACCAAUAUUUCUCAUGUAUGCCAAAAUUGUUAAUAUUUUAUUAAAUUGAUUCCAACAAUAUGUUGAAAACACAGGAAGACCUAAUGUGGCUUAUUCUAGGAAUGCAAGAUAGUUUAAAAUUUAAAAUCUAUAAUUGUAAUUCGCUUUUAAUAGGUUAAAUAAAACAAAUAAAUCAAUGGAUUAAAAGAUUAAUUCAAGAUCCUGUAGCUAUUCCUGAUUAAAAAUCUUCAGAAACCUAGGAAAAGAAAGAACUUCCUUGCCCUGAUAAAGUCAUCUAUGGAAGAACUAUAGCCGACAUCUUUCAUGCUCAAUGGUGAGAGAUGAACUGCUUUCCUUCUAAGUUCAACAGCAAGGCAAGGCUGACCACUCUCGUGUUGUACCCAGGUAAACAGCUCUAACCAGUGCAAUAAGGCAAGAUAAAGAAUAAAAGGCAUCUUGAUUGGAAAGGAAGAAGUUAAACUGUGUUUAUUCCUAAACAACCUGCUUGUGUCUAUAGAAAAUAUUAUGGAAUCUACAAAAUAGCUAUUAGAACUACUAGCUUGAGUUUAGCAAGGUUACAGGACACAAGAUCAAUGUAUAACAAUCAGUGUUUUCUAUGCACAAGAAAUGAACAAAUAAAAACUGAAAUUUACAAGUUUCCAUUUACAAUAGGAUAGAAAUAUAAACUACUUAGGGAUUGUGUUAGUUUCCUAUGAUGCUGUAACAAGUUGUCACAAAUUUAAUGGCUUAAAUAAGACAAAUUUGUUGUCUUUUGGUUCUAGAGGAUAGAAGUUCAAAAUUUGUCUCAGGGGCUGCAACUAGGUAUUGGCGGGGCUGCCUUCCUUCCCAGGCCUGCCGAUUUCAAGGUUGCCCUUUUUUAAGCACCAAAGGAGGCAAGAGAAGCUCCAUCAUUCUCUGCUGUACCCCGUUUAAUAAAAGGAUUUGUACCAUAAAAUUUGAAUUCUGUCAAAAGGCGAACAUAAGGACCUAGACGGCCACAUGUGGCCAUAAGGCCGUGGGUCCCCGCCCCUGAGGGAGUAUCUGUUUCCUUACCUGUCUGGCUUUUAGAGGCUGCCCCGUUUGUUCCUUGGCUUAUGGCCCCAUCAUUCUGACCCCUAAUUCCAGAGUCACAUCUUCACCUUACUGCCCCUCAUCCUCUGUCUUCCUCUUAUAUGGGCUCUUGUGAGGACACUGGGGCCACACGGGUAAUCCAGGGUACCCGCCCCAUUGCAUUUACAGAGUCUGAAGACGUGGGCAUCUUUGGGGACAAAUGCUUCAAGUGUUUAGCUGCAUCUUCCCUUCACCUUCCAGAGGCUGCUGUUGCCACCAACGUGUGAGCACUUUGAGGUUUCUGGGGUGUAAAUUCUUCUUGCCUUUUUGUCUGGCGGGUUUAGGGUUCAGACUUUUGGGAUGUACUAAGUUACUAAGCAUUCAUCCACCUGCUUCCACGAUUCUGUGGCUGCUUUUCUCUUCUCCCAUGUUUUUCUUUUGUCUUUGAAGGUUUAUGCCUUUAAAGAGUGAGCAAAAGUAAAUGUGUGCAUUUAGCUUGCUGUCUCAUCUCUAAUACG
ensembl:lincRNA